CCUACGGGAGGCAGCAGUAGGGAAUAUUGCUCAAUGGGAGAAACCCUGAAGCAGCAACGUCGCGUGGAGGAUGAAGGUUCUCGGAUUGUAAACUCCCUUUGUUAGAGACGAUAAUGACGGUAUCUAACGAAUAAGCACCGGCGAACUCCGUGACAGCAGCCGCGGUAAUACGGAGGGUGCAAGCGUUACUCGGAAUGACUGGGCGUAAAGAGCGCGUAGGCGGGAUAGCAGGUCUGAUGUGAAAUCCUAUGGCUUAACCAUAGAACUGUAUUUGAAACUGGUAUUCUAGAGUAUGGGAGAGGUAGGUGGAAUUCUUGGUGUAGAGGUAAAAUGCGUAGAGAUCAAGAGGAAUACUCAUUGCGAAGGCGACCUGCUAGAACAUAACUGACGCUGAUGCGCGAAAGCGUGGGGAGCAAACAGGAUUAGAUACCCCAGUAGUC
rnacentral:rRNA from 1 species